CAACAAUGGUUUCAAAAUCAUUUUCAAGAUCUCUUCACUGGCAAGCAUUAGGGAGUACCGCCGUGGCAAACCCGGUUUCCCCUUAGGUACCCGGUCGGGGCAUAUCAACAAGCGAGGUUCUGAAUGUAGUCUUGUCAUCGCCACCCACGUCUUGGUCUUCCGUUGUUAUCGGUCGUCCUUCGCUUGUAUUUUUUCAUCACCUUAUGGUUGUCAGUCAUUCCACCAGAUCCCAACGAACUCGCGUAUCCCUUUAUUCCAAUCAAAUUACCGAUGACUGCCGUGCUGUGUCAAUUAACAGUCUCCAAUCUUUUAUUCAAUCUUUCUCCUCCCAUCGGUCUCCUCGGCCUUGAAUGCUCCACAUCUUCAUCUGCCCGGAUUAAUCCGCCCAUCGAUUAAAUGUGGAAGCUUUAGUGACCCCUCGGGUAGCGGACGGAAGAGAAGUGGAAGAAAGGACAAGAAGUCGAGACAAAUAGAUAUGCCGGUUUCUCCUGUAUGACUCAUGUGGUGUGCUCGCUUCAUAAUACUGCAUGCCGGUGAAGAUCUUGUAAAGGGCCUCCAAGGGCAGAUUGACCGGCAGAAUGAGUCAAAGAGAGUAGGAGAUGGGUGGCAGACGGCUAUCAAAAUUGGGCUGAAGAACUGAGAAGGAGGCUUUACUACUUGGAAGCCUGGGAUGUUGUCAUUUUAGGAAUCCCAACGGAAAGAUCAGACCUUCUUUAACUUGCUACUACCGCAUCCGUUCCAAAAACCACCGCUAACCGUUUGGGCAGUCCAUAUCUCGAAGCUUACGGAGUAGCUGAGCCUUGUUUUGGCAUCUUCUCUAUGACAUUCGUUUUUUUUUUUGCCUUCCAUGGCCCCUAUUAUGCCGGCGUCUGACCUUCAUUUGUAUUUCUCGAUCGAUACUCAUCAUGAAUUUGCUGUUGGAAAUGUAAUUUACCGGCCAAACUUGGUAGAUAUGCUGAGUAUGAUCGGUUAAAGUUGCCUUAUGAUGGCGACUUUUACUUUUUAAUGCACGAGUCUUCCCAUCCCCCAUGAAGCUCCAAGUCUUGGCUGCUCUUGCUCCGAAGCCUUUGUUAGGUAGACUUGACAUACCCCAAUGUCGAUGAAUCACGCUAUCAAUGGACCGCCGAGACUUGUAUUUGUAUUGCGUUACGCGAGGUAUUUGUA
rnacentral:sRNA from 1 species